UACGUAGGGGGCUAGCGUUAUCCGGAUUUACUGGGCGUAAAGGGUGCGUAGGUGGUUUCUUAAGUCAGAGGUGAAAGGCUACGGCUCAACCGUAGUAAGCCUUUGAAACUGGGGAACUUGAGUGCAGGAGAGGAGAGUGGAAUUCCUAGUGUAGCGGUGAAAUGCGUAGAUAUUAGGAGGAACACCAGUUGCGAAGGCGGCUCUCUGGACUGUAACUGACACUGAGGCACGAAAGCGUGGGGAGCAAACAGGAUUAGAUACCCUGGUAGUCCCUGAG
rnacentral:rRNA from 1 species